CCUGACUGCUAUCGGAUUGAUACUAAGCCAUGCGAGUCAUUGUAGUAAUACAAGGCAGACGGCUCAGUAACGCGUAGUCAACCUAACCUAUGGACGGGAAUAACCUCGGGAAACUGAGUAUAAUGCCUGAUAGAACAUUAUGCCUGGAAUGGUUUAUGUUCCAAAUGAUUUAUCGCCAUAGGAUGGGACUGCGGCCUAUCAGUUUGUUGGUGAGGUAAUGGCCCACCAAGACUAUUACAGGUACGGGCUCUGAGAGGAGUGGCCCGGAGAUGGGUACUGAGACACGGACCCAGGCCCUAUGGGGCGCAGCAGGCGAGAAAACUUUGCAAUGUGCGAAAGCACGACAAGGUUAAUCCGAGUGGUUUCUGCUAAAGGAACCUUUUGUCGGUCCUAGAAACACCGAUGAAUAAGGGGUGGGCAAGUUCUGGUGUCAGCCGCCGCGGUAAAACCAGCACCUCAAGUGGUCAGGAUGAUUAUUGGGCCUAAAGCAUCCGUAGCCGGCUUUGUUAGUUUUCGGUUAAAUCUGUACGCUUAACGUACAGGCUGCCGGGAAUACUGUAGAGCUAGGGAGUGGGAGAGGUAGACGGUACUCGGUAGGAAGGGGUAAAAUCCUUUGAUCUAUUGAUGACCACCUGUGGCGAAGGCGGUCUACCAGAACACGUCCGACGGUGAGGGAUGAAAGCUGGGGGAGCAAACCGGAUUAGAUACCCGGGUAGUCCCAGCUGUAAACUAUGCAAACUCAGUGAUGCAUUGGCUUGUGGCCAAUGCAGUGCUGCAGGGAAGCCGUUAAGUUUGCCGCCUGGGAAGUACGUACGCAAGUAUGAAACUUAAAGGAAUUGGCGGGGGAGCACCACAAGGGGUGAAGCCUGCGGUUC
rnacentral:rRNA from 1 species